UACAGAGGGUGCAAGCGUUGUUCGGAAUUAUUGGGCGUAAAGCGCACGUAGGCGGACUGUUAAGUCGGGUGUGAAAUCCCUCAGCUUAACUGAGGAAGUGCAUUCGAAACUGGCAGUCUUGAGUAUGGAAGAGGGUCGCGGAAUUCCCGGUGUAGAGGUGAAAUUCGUAGAUAUCGGGAGGAACACCAGUGGCGAAGGCGGCGACCUGGGCCAAUACUGACGCUGAGGUGCGAAAGCGUGGGGAGCAAACAGG
rnacentral:rRNA from 1 species